UUUUUCCUGCCACCGAAUACAUUAGCAUGGGAUAAUGGAAUAGGACCCUGACCUCCUAUUUUCAGUUGGUUUUGUUUACAGCGAGGUUAUAUCAGGGUAAUGAUUAAUAGGGAUAGUUGGGGGCAUUAAUAUUUAAUUGUCAGAGGUGAAAUUCUUGGAUUUAUGAAAGAUUAACUUCUGCGAAAGCGUUUGCCAAGGAUGUUUUCAUUAAUCAAGAACGAAAGUUAGGGGAUCGAAGACGAUCAGAUACCGUCGUAGUCUUAACCAUAAACGAUGCCGACCAGCGAUUAGGAGACGUUGAAUACAAAACACCGCUGUUAAUCCUUUCGGGGGUUAAUAGUUGGUGAAUGACUCCCCUAGC
rnacentral:rRNA from 1 species